UACGGAGGGUGCGAGCGUUGUCCGGAAUCACUGGGCGUAAAGGGCGCGUAGGUGGCGCGGGCAGUCAACGGUGAAAAGUUCGGGGCUCAACCCUGAAUCGGCCGUCGAUACUCCCGGGCUUGAGCACUGUAGAGGGCAGAUGGAAUUCCGGGUGUAGCGGUGGAAUGCGUAGAGAUCCGGAAGAACACCGGUGGCGAAGGCGGUCUGCUGGGCAGUAGCUGACACUGAGGCGCGACAGCGUGGGGAGCAACAGG
rnacentral:rRNA from 1 species